GACGAACGCUGGCGGCGUGCCUAAUACAUGCAAGUCGAACGCAGUGGGGACGGGUGAGUAACACGUGGGUAACCUCCCAUCAGAGGGGAUAACACUUGGAAACAGGUGCUAAACCGAUACUGAUGGAUGGACCCGCGGUACAUUAGCUAGUUGGUGAGGUAACGGCUCACCAAGGCCACGAGGCAUAGCAGACCGGAGAGGGAGAUGGGCAGCACUGGGACGGAGGCACGGCCCAGACUCUUACGGGAGGCAGCAGGAGGGAAUCUUCGGCAAUGGACGAAAGUCUGACCGAGCAAGGCCGCGUGAGUGAAGAAUGUUUUGGGAUCGUAAAACUCUGUUGUUAGAGAAGCGGUAUCUAACCAGAAAGCCACGGCUAACUACGUGCCAGCAGCCGCGGUAAUUC
rnacentral:rRNA from 1 species